rnacentral:rRNA from 1 species
AUGAACGCUGGCGGCGUGCCUAAUACAUGCAAGUCGAGCGAACAGAUGAGGAGCUUGCUCCUCUGACGUUAGCGGCGGACGGGUGAGUAACACGUGGAUAACCUACCUAUAAGACUGGGAUAACUUCGGGAAACCGGAGCUAAUACCGGAUAAUAUAUUGAACCGCAUGGUUCAAUAGUGAAAGACGGUUUUGCUGUCACUUAUAGAUGGAUCCGCGCCGCAUUAGCUAGUUGGUAAGGUAACGGCUUACCAAGGCAACGAUGCGUAGCCGACCUGAGAGGGUGGUCGGCCACACUGGAACUGAGACACGGUCCAGACUCCUACGGGAGGCAGCAGUAGGGAAUCUUCCGCAAUGGGCGAAAGCCUGACGGAGCAACGCCGCGUGAGUGAUGAAGGUCUUCGGAUCGUAAAACUCUGUUAUUAGGGAAGAACAAAUGUGUAAGUAACUAUGCACGUCUUGACGGUACCUAAUCAGAAAGCCACGGCUAACUACGU